CCUACGGGUGGCAGCAGUGGGGAAUAUUGGACAAUGGGGGGAACCCUGAUCCAGCGACGCCGCGUGAGUGAAGAAGUAUUUCGGUAUGUAAAGCUCUAUCAGCAGGGAAGAAAAUGACGGUACCUGACUAAGAAGCCCCGGCUAACUACGUGCCAGCAGCCGCGGUAAUACGGAGGGGGCAAGCGUUAUCCGGAUUUACUGGGGGUAAAGGGAGCGUAGACGGUGCAGCAAGUCUGAUGUUAAAGGAGGGGGCACAACCCCUGGAUUGCAUUGGAAACUGUUGAACUGGAGUACAGGAGAGGUAAGGGGAAUUCCUGGUGUAGCGGUGAAAUGCGGAGAUAUUAGGAGGAACACCAGUGGCGAAGGCGGGUUACUGGGCUGUAAUUGACGUUGAGGAUCGAAAGCGUGGGGAGCAAACAGGAUUAGAUACCCUAGUAGUC
rnacentral:rRNA from 1 species